rnacentral:rRNA from 1 species
CGUAGGUGACCUGCGGAGGAUCACUAGUGAUUAAAUCGAGAGUGUCUUCAUUGACCUCUCACCCUUCACAUCCACAUACACCUGUGCACCGUUUGGCUCUUUUAAAAGACGCAAGUCUGCAAAGAGAGUCAUCAAUUUUAUACAUACCCCAGUCUUAUGAAUGUAACAGUUUUAAUAAACAUAAUAAAACUUUUAACAACGGAUCUCUUGGUUCUCGCAUCGAUGAAGAACGCAGCGAAAUGCGAUAAGUAAUGUGAAUUGCAGAAUUCAGUGAAUCAUCGAAUCUUUGAACGCACCUUGCGCUCCUUGGUAUUCCGAGGAGCAUGCCUGUUUGAGUGUCAUGAAACUCUCAACCUUCAACUUUUUUAUUAAGGCUGAAGGCUUGGACUUGAGCGCUGCUGGUUUUCACUAACCGGCUCGCUUGAAAUGAAUUAGCAGAUCCUUUUUGUAAUCGGUUCCACUCGACGUGAUAAGUAUUUCGCCGAGGACAUACGAAAGUAUGGCCGAGAUAAGAGAAGUCUUUUAGAUCCGCUUCUAAUUCUUAGAUCAAGCUUGCUUGACUAAACCCCAUUUUAUGAUCUGGCCUCAAAUCAGGUAGGACUACCCGCUGAACUUAA